rnacentral:lncRNA from 1 species
AUAACUGACCAGCUACCACCAAUGGGUAGCCACAGGAGAGGCAGUAUCUCCCAGACCUCAAUUGUUGCUUUCAGCCCAGCCCUCAUGGUUAUUAUCUGGGGAAGCAAGUCCAAUAGAAAAAGGGCCAGCUAUCCUCACCAACUGCCAACUGGCUACUAUAAACAGGGCAAGCAAGCUAGCCUAGCUGGAGCUACAUGGCACACAUACCAAGGAAGAGAAAAGGAAGUAAGCCAAGCAAAAAGAGGACUCUGACUAAUACCACUGCAGGGAGGGAAGGCCAUUCAGAAUGCAGUGAUUUGUCCCUUUGACCUAAAGGAAGGUUCCCUCAGACAGCCAACCUAUUCCUCACAACAGCUGCACUAUGUUCAGAAAUGAGACUGUAAAUCCAAAUGGAGAGAGUUGGUGAUUAACAGCCAAGCCACUUGGCCUCAUAGCUCUGUGCCUGUUACUACCGCUACUUGCUGUGUGAGCAUAAAGGUCAGUCAAUGCCUUUCCUGUAAUUACCAGGCUGUGCAAGCUCAUUUGCAGGAGAUUGUAAGGAAUUAUUAUUCUUUAUAAUCCUGCGCCUCAUGCAUGUAUUUCUCUGAAAUGACCUUUUCCCUCUCCAAUUACAACCAAAUAUUAAUUACUAGAAAUAAUAUUUAAAUGUUAUGUUAGUCGUAGGAUUAGUCAAAAUUUAAUAAUUCUUGCUUUGGAUCAGUCAAUACCAUGUAUUGACCAAACCUCACCAAGGUCUGAUAAAGUAAGAACUGAUAUACUAAGCUCCCAUUAUUCCACUACAUUUUGAGCUUUUUUAUCAGGAAAAAUGCCAGAGGAAGGGAAUCUUAUAUUUUCAUGAAAUGUCAUCAGCUCAUUACAGAUUUGGAAAGAUAUUUGCUCAUGAGAUAAAUUGUAGCUCUUCUGAUUAUGGGAAAAUCACUGGUGUUCCUUAAUAUGGGUGAGUUUAUAAGGAGUUAUAUGAAUUGGAUUUUUGGAAAUUGAGCAUUUUACAUGUUGUAAAAGGAGUUUAUUAUUUCAUAGUUAGAAUUGUAAGGGUCCUUAGAAAUCAUCUAGUCUGAGCAGCAAUGCAAUGAUCAGGGGCAAUCAGAGGAUGAGAAAGGACACUAUCCACAUCCAGAGAAAGAACUGUGGGAGCAGAAACACAGAAGAAAAAACACAUGAUCAAUCAUGUGGUUUAAUGGGGAUAUGAUUAGGGUUUUGAUGUUUUGAUCUUUUAAAGAUGGCUCUACUGCAAAUAUGAAUAACAUGGAAAUAGGUUUUGAACAAUGAUACAGGUAUAACCCAGUAGAAGUGCUUGUCAACUCUGGGAGGGGGGAGGGAAGAGGGGAGAGGAAUCAUGAACUAUGUAACCAGGAAAGAAUAUUAUAAAUAAAAUUUUAAAAAACCAUCUAGUCUAAAUGCUU